GAUCGGGAGAACUGUGGUUAAGGAACUCGGCAAAAUGCCUCCGUAACUUCGGGAGAAGGAGGACCCCAUCAGGGUGAAGGACCUCGCGUCCGGAGCUCGAAGGGGUGGCACAGACCAGGGGAAAGCGACUGUUUACGAAAAACACAGCAGCGUGCGAAGUCGUAAGACGUUGUAUACGCUGUGACGCCUGCCCAAUGCCGGAAGGUUAAAGGGAAAGGUUAGCCCGCAAGGGCGAAGCUUUGAACUGAAGCCCCGGUGAAUGGCGGCCGUAACUAUAACGGUCCUAAGGUAGCGAAAUUCCUUGUCGGGUAAGUUCCGACCUGCACGAAUGGCGUAACGACUUUCCUACUGUCUCAACCACAGACCCGGCGAAAUUGAAGUACGAGUAAAGAUGCUCGUUAGCUGCAGAAGGACGGGAAGACCCCGUGGACCUUUACUAUAGCUUGAUGUUGAGUUUUGUUAUGUGUUGUGUAGGAUAGGUGGGAGACUUGGAAGCAUUGGCGCCAGCCAGUGUGGAGUCAACCUUGAAAUACCACCCUGCUCAUGACGGAGCUCUAACCCACGUCCCUGAUCGGGAUGGGGAACAGCGUCUGGUGGGUAGUUUGACUGGGGCGGUCGCCUCCUAAAGAGUAACGGAGGCGCCCAAAGGUUCCCUCAGGCUGGUUGGCAAUCAGCCGUCGAGUGCAAUGGCACAAGGGAGCUUGACUGCGAGACCUACAAGUCAAGCAGGUGCGAAAGCAGGGCAUAGUGAUCCGGCGGUUGCGUGUGGAAGCGCCGUCGCUCAACGGAUAAAAGGUACCCCGGGGAUAACAGGCUCAUCUUCCCCAAGAGUCCAUAUCGACGGGAAGGUUUGGCACCUCGAUGUCGGCUCAUCGCAUCCUGGGGCUGAAGCAGGUCCCAAGGGUUGGGCUGUUCGCCCAUUAAAGCGGUACGCGAGCUGGGUUUAGAACGUCGUGAGACAGUUCGGUCCCUAUCCUCUGCAGCCAGAAGGAACUUGAGAAAAUCUGUCCCUAGUACGAGAGGACCGGGAUGGACGCAGCUCUCGUGUGCCAGUUGUCCUGCCAAGGGCACUGCUGGUUAGCGACCUGCGGAAGGGAUAAGCGCUGAAAGCAUCUAAGUGCGAAGCCCAUUUCUAGAUGAGGUUCCUCACUGGGUUAACCAGGUAAGGCCCGUGAUAGACCAACACGUUGAUAGGCCGGAAGUGUAAGCGUGGUAACACGUUCAGCUGAC
rnacentral:rRNA from 1 species